CAUCCGCCGCCGUCACUUGCUUACACGGCCUGGGGCACGGUCUCCUCCGUCAACCCCCCACCACCGCGGCACCCUCCGGCUCCCGCGCGCACACCGCUAUAAACCCUAGCUCCGCCCUCUACCGUCCCCUACCGGCCAUCGGCGGCGGCCUCCCGCGUCGCGGAUCGCUGGUGAUGUUCCGCCUUCCUCACCUCCGCAGGAUUCGUACCGUCGCCAAGCCACCCCACCUCCUCCGCGUGUCCCCGUGGCAACUAUAUCCGUGGGGUUCGGAUUGCCGGCGCCGCGUCCGUGCACCCGUGCCUCCGGCUACUCCCUCCGGCAGCCAGGCCUCGUCUACGACCUCCGCCACGACCUCCCGUGCUCCUGCUCCUCUACCCCGACGCCUGCGACCACCUCCUGGACCCUGCGUCGACCUGGGCUCCUCUAGUGCUCCGGCUACCCUGUGGUGCUGCUACUUUCGCACCUCAGGCUCACCUCCCCGUGCUGUAUUUGUAUAUUUGGGAGAUCAAAUAUAUUUAUCCAAAUCUGGAGUAGGUGCCCUGAGGUGAUGAACACCACGCUGAAGGGUUGCACUUUUGGUGCUUGAUGCAAUGGCUCUAUAGAGCAAGGAAGACAGUGAGAGAUUAACAUGGUUGUGCCGCGUCUGCACUUGGAUGGUUUUAUUUCCUAAAGUUUUUGCUGUGUGCAGUUUGAGUGCUCUAUAACAGGAACCUACUUUAGUAUUUUUCUCAGAGUACAUGCAUUAGUUCUCCAUAAAAGGCUGGAUUACUAGAAGCAAUUAAAUGAGUGCUGGAUAAACAAAAGUGAGAUUUUGCUACCCCUUGUACAUUGCAGGCCAUGGACGCAUGUAUUCUUUCACUGA